GAUGAACGUUGGCGGCGUGCCUAAUACAUGCAAGUCGAGCGAACAGACGAGGAGCUUGCUCCUCUGACGUUAGCGGCGGACGGGUGAGUAACACGUGGAUAACCUACCUAUAAGACUGGGAUAACUUCGGGAAACCGGAGCUAAUACCGGAUAAUAUAUUGAACCGCAUGGUUCAAUAGUGAAAGACGGUUUUGCUGUCACUUAUAGAUGGAUCCGCGCCGCAUUAGCUAGUUGGUAAGGUAACGGCUUACCAAGGCAACGAUGCGUAGCCGACCUGAGAGGGUGAUCGGCCACACUGGAACUGAGACACGGUCCAGACUCCUACGGGAGGCAGCAGUAGGGAAUCUUCCGCAAUGGGCGAAAGCCUGACGGAGCAACGCCGCGUGAGUGAUGAAGGUCUUCGGAUCGUAAAACUCUGUUAUUAGGGAAGAACAAAUGUGUAAGUAACUAUGCACGUCUUGACGGUGCCUAAUCAGAAAGCCACGGCUAACUACGUG
rnacentral:rRNA from 1 species